CCGGGUUCCCAGCGAGCCACUUUAUCACAAGAGGGAAUAACUGAUGUGCUACAGGGUCCUGUGGUGCUACGCUAGGAGAUUCAGGACACAUACAGUUGAAUGAAAUGAAAACCACAGACCAUCCUGCUAUGGGAGCAGACCCCAACCGAUUAGCAAAGGCCUUCUCCAGAGAACCAGAUGAAGACACAGCCUAGAUUCAUGAUCAGCAAACUACAACCCUCUCCCAUUUUGGCACAGAGUUCCCUGAAAGCACAGAGGACGGAGGAGUCCCAUACCCACUUCGAAGUGGGUCAUAAAGAAGCUCUAGGGAAGGAAACUUGACUGCAGAAACAGUGGAAGAAGGUGAAGAGUCAGCAAGGCUGGCACGAGAACGAGACACUUACUCUCCCUACCAUCACUCAACAUUCAGCACAGCAGCAGAGUACCACUGGCUUUUCAGCCUGUGGUCUGAGUCAGGAAGGUGGACAGGCAGAGGAGGACACCACUAGGAGCCCAGCGAACAGAGGCACAUGUGAGUAUCUAUGCUUGAGCCAAGUGGGGAGAGGGACCUACAGGGGCCAUUUCUAGAGGAGUGAGGAAGGGGCCAGACAGUGAGCACAAGAGUUGGAGUGGCUGACUGCUGAAAGUUUCCUUCUCUUCCCUUCCCUCUGUCUCUCUUCCUCUCUCCUCCCUUCUCUCCUUCCUUUCCCCUCCCGAUGCACAGCAAUACCACUGCUCCAAUCCUCUGAGCACCACUUCUGGUCACUUAACCCAAUGACUACUAAACAUCCAUCCCACUACAUGUCAAGCACGCUCUAUGUGUUUAUAGGGCCGCAUCAAUGAAAAAAAUAAACCAGAAUUCCUCAUAGGAAGAGAU